GGUGUAUAUGAAUUGAUAACAUCAAAUAAUGUCAUAUUGAAAACUAAAUAUAAUCUCUCAAAUUUAAAAGAAUUUAUUGUACGAAACAAUGAAAAUGAUAUUGGUUCCUAAAAUGGUCUUGAUGAUGAAAAUUACCCACACGAUACGGAGUUUGUCGAUCCAAAGUCACCUAUAGAUAUUGGUUCCCAAAAUAGUCUUGAUGAAAAUAACCCAAACAAUGUGGAGUUUGUCGAUCCAAAGUCCCCUAUAGAUAGAAUUGGAUGAUGAUAUUUUGAUAAUAAAUAAAUUAGAAAGUAUCCCUAGAUAUUUUUUUCCUACAACAAAGGCAUGGAAAAAAUAUCAUGCUAAAAUAUAUGGUCUAAAGCCUCCCAAACAUUGUCGGGGUAUAGAAUAUGGGAAACAACUUGGUGAACCCACCAUCCUGGUGACAAUUGAAAGUGAUGGGAAUUGUUUUUAUAGGACGAUUAGUGUAGAGAUCACUCGGGUUCAAAAUUCCCAUACUAUUCUCAGGCAAUGGUUAGCACAAUUUAUGCUAACCUUUGAGAUGGAAAAGGUAAUCGAGAAUUAUAUUUGCGAUACGAACAAAAAAAUAGGCGUAAAAGCUUAUGUGUUAAAUAAUGUUAUGACAGGACGGACAUGGGCUUCUGACACAGGUCAUGGCCACAAUGUUAAAUACACCCAUUUUUACAUAUAUAAAAUAUAAUAAUAAUUUUAUA